rnacentral:rRNA from 1 species
UGGGGAAUAUUGGACAAUGGGGGGAACCCUGAUCCAGCCAUGCCGCGUGUGUGAAGAAGGCCUUAUGGUUGUAAAGCACUUUAAGCGAGGAGGAGGCUACUGAGACUAAUACUCUUGGAUAGUGGACGUUACUCGCAGAAUAAGCACCGGCUAACUCUGUGCCAGCAGCCGCGGUAAUACAGAGGGUGCGAGCGUUAAUCGGACUUACUGGGCGUAAAGCGUGCGUAGGCGGCUUUUUAAGUCGGAUGUGAAAUCCCCGAGCUUAACUUGGGAAUUGCAUUCGAUACUGGGAAGCUAGAGUAUGGGAGAGGAUGGUAGAAUUCCAGGCGUAGCGGUGAAAUGCGUAGAGAUCUGGAGGAAUACCGAUGGCGAAGGCAGCCAUCUGGCCUAAUACUGACGCUGAGGUACGAAAGCAUGGGGAGCAAACAG